rnacentral:rRNA from 1 species
UUUAAUUCGAAGCAACGCGAAGAACCUUACCAGGUCUUGACAUCCUUUGACCAUUCUAGAGAUAGGAGCUUCCCCUUCGGGGGCAAAGUGACAGGUGGUGCAUGGUUGUCGUCAGCUCGUGUCGUGAGAUGUUGGGUUAAGUCCCGCAACGAGCGCAACCCUUAUUGUUAGUUGCCAUCAUUUAAGUUGGGCACUCUAGCGAAGACUGCCGGUGACAAACCGGAGGAAGGUGGGGAUGACGUCAAAUCAUCAUGCCCCUUAUGACCUGGGCUACACACGUGCUACAAUGGGACAGAGUACAACGAGUUCGCGAGGAAUCCGCGAGGUCUAAGCUAAUCUCUUAAAGCUUCUCUCAGUUCGGAUUGUAGGCUGCAACUCGCCUACAUGAAGUCCGGAAUCGCUAGUAAUCGCGGAUCAGCACGCCG